rnacentral:lncRNA from 1 species
CGCACUUCUGAGAGUCGUCCGGUCUCAUGGGCUCGUCGGGGUCGGAGGACGCCGGCGUCGGAGCAGGAGCUGGUAACUGGAGAGCAGAGCGAGCGUGAGCUGCGAAUAGCCAAGCGGCGAGAACAGGGCAGCACCGGCUCCGGUCGAGGUUUCUCCCGCAUGCUUCGUUGACUCCGCCGAAGAGCUCGUCGGAGAGGUCAAGACGGCAGGUUUGAGCUUGGGUUUCGACCGGGAAGGCAGGUACGGUGUUGGGUGUGACCGGUUCGAGGAGUAGAUUGGCUGAGACGGUGUGAGAGAGGAGAGAACAGAGGAUGAUGAGGAGUGAAGUGAAGCUUUUCUUCAUUGUUAGAGGCUACAGAGAGGGAGGAAGAGAUAGAGAAAUGGAUUUAUAAAAUUAUGACGCUCUCAAAUCUCUCUGUGACUGUCUUUUAGAUUCACGAAGAAAAUCAGCCUUCCAUUAUUCACUAUCUUCUCUCUCUUUUGUUCUUUCUAUAGGAUUAUUGUGGAGAGAGAAAGAUGUGAUUGAAAAAAAACAAGAGAUUCCUGACUUUGGCAGUUUCUGGUUUGUUUUUAGAGUCUUGUAAACCCUUUGUAAACUGUGUUAGUUCCGGAAAUUAUAAGGCUUCUGUCUUUUGGUUUGGACCAAACUAGUAAGUAGUAACUAAGAUCCUUAACUAAAGUAAUUACAAUAGGAUACAAAUACUGUAUGACUCCUAUUUAUUGUAUUUAUACAUUAUCAUGUGUUUUGCAUUUGUAUGUCCCCGUAGGCUUAGGUAUAAAGGUUGAGCUUUUAAUUUUGUAAAAUGCUUCCAAAACUAUGUUAGAAUAAAACAUAAACUUAUGAGCAAGAAAAUGAAAAAUAAUAAUAAUAUGAAUGGUGGAGAAGAGAUUGGACUCUAAAACAAUGUGAGAUGAGAUGCGAAUAUGGUAUAGUCACAGGAAGAAAAGGGCCAAUUUGCAAAGGACAAUCACCAAACACACAAACAAAAACUCCAACAAUCAUAGACUAUAUCAUUGAUUCGCUUUUUCGAGAAUUUGACAAAUCAAAAGUAUAUAAAUUUUGUAACGUUUUUUUAAACGGGCAGAAGAGAACCCGGAGCUCGCCUUGGGAACCGUGCCGUCAGAAAAAGUGAAACCAAAAAAGGCAAGAAAAAGGAGUAUUUUACUCAUUUUAUUUUUCCUAAUCUUCUUCCUCCUUUAAAAUUUUCAACGCCUAAUCGUCUUCAUCUUUAAGCAUUUUCACACAUUCUUUGUUCACUAAUUUAUUUCCCAUACCAAAUACCUAAAUCCCUCAAAUUCAAAUUCCAUUAAGUUAGUCUCAGCUGCUCCACACUCAUCUAUUGCUUCAAAUUGAAAAAGAGAAACAUUAUUUUAUAUAUGUGAUACCUAAACUAAUCCACUCAUAUUUUGAUAUCAAUUGUUCUUUUGAAAAAAGAGAGUACCCCAUUAAUUUUAGAAUGACCAUAUGCAGUUGACUUGUAUAAUAGUCAAGGCUUCCUGAAAAUAGGCCUUAGAUUGGGCUAUUAAUGACUUGAAGGGCUUCAAAUUGGAUCUUCGAUUGGGCCCAAUUUACGUAAGACACUAUCCUUUUUUACCAACGUACCUAAUUAACGACUUCUUACCCACCAUACCAACAUGACCUUUAUCUCAUCAACAUUACUUGGGAAAAUGACAAUGUUAUGCUACGUACGUUGGUACGGUAUACAGAGAGCCGUGCCUAUUAAACACAACAUGGAAUGUGUUCCCGUUUCAUUCGUUCUCGAAGAUAUACGACUUCAACUACCUCAACCGAAUGGAUCUUGUCUUUGUAUUCGGGUAAGCUAGCAGCACCAAGAAUAUGCUCUUUUAAGAACAUGACAUGUGAUGCUCACCGGCUCCGGUCGAGGUUUCUCCCGCAUGCUUCGUUGACUCCGCCGAAGAGCUCGUCGGAGAGGUCAAGACGGCAGGUUUGAGCUUGGGUUUCGACCGGGAAGGCCGGUACGGUGUUGGGUGUGACCGGUUCGAGGAGUAGAUUGGCUGAGACGGUGUGAGAGAGGAGAGAACAGAGGAGGAUGAGGAGUGAAGUGAAGCUUCUCUUCAUUGUUAGAGGCUACAGAGAGAGAGAGAGAGAGAGAAAUGGAUUUAUGAAAUUAUGACGCUUUCAAAUCUCUCUGUGACUGUCUUUUAGAUUCACGAAGAAAAGCAGCCUUCCAUUAUUCACUAUCUUCUCUCUCUUUUGUUCUUUCUAUAGGAUUAUUGUGGAGAGAGAGAGAGAUGUGAUUGAAAAAACAAGAGAUUCCUGACUUUGGCAGUUUCUGGUUUGUUUUUAGAGUUUUGUAAACCCCUUUGUAAACUGUGUUAGUUCCGGAAAUUAUC